GACGAACGCUGGCGGCGUGCUUAACACAUGCAAGUCGAGCGGUAAGGCCCUUUCGGGGGUACACGAGCGGCGAACGGGUGGGUAACGACGUGGGUGACCUGCCCUUAGCUCUGGGAUAAGCCUGGGAAACUGGGGUCUAAUACCGGAUAUGACUCCAUAACGCAUGGCUGUGGGGUGGAAAGCCUUGUGCGGCUAGGGAUGGGCCCGCGGCCUAUCAGCUUGUUGGUGGGGUGAUGGCCUACCAAGGCGACGACGGGUAGCCGGCCUGAGAGGGCGACCGGCCACACUGGGACUGAGACACGGCCCAGACUCCUACGGGAGGCAGCAGUGGGGAAUCUUGCGCAAUGGGCGAAAGCCUGACGCAGCGACGCCGCGUGGGGA
rnacentral:rRNA from 1 species